rnacentral:rRNA from 1 species
GACGAACCGUGCGAACGUUGUUCGGAAUCACUGGGCUUAGAGGGCGCGUAGGCGGGUGACCAAGUCAGGGGUGAAUCUUUCGGCCCAACCGGAAAAGUGCCUCUGAUACUGGUCGUCUUGAGGGAGGUAGGGGUCGAGGGAACUGGUGGUGGAGCGGUGAAAUGCGUAGAUAUCACUAGGAACGCCGGUGGCGAAGGCGCUCGACUGGACCUCUUCUGACGCUGAGGCGCGAAAGCCAGGGAGCAAACGGG